rnacentral:rRNA from 1 species
AUUGAACGCUGGCGGCAUGCUUUACACAUGCAAGUCGAACGGUAACAGGCCGCAAGGUGCUGACGAGUGGCGAACGGGUGAGUAAUGCAUCGGAACGUGCCCAGUCGUGGGGGCUAACUACUCGAAAGAGUAGCUAAUACAGCAUACGAUCUAUGGAUGACAGCGGGGGACCGUAAGGCCUCGCGCGAUUGGAGCGGCCGAUGUCAGAUUAGGUAGUUGGUGGGGAAAAGGCUCACCAAGCCAACGAUCUGUAGCUGGUCUGAGAGGACGACCAGCCACACUGGGAUUGAGACACGGCCCAGACUCCUACGGGAGGCAGCAGUGGGGAAUUUUGGACAAUGGGCGCAAGCCUGAUCCAGCAAUGCCGCGGGCAGGAAGAAGGUCUUCGGGUUGUAAACUGCUUUUGUACGGAACGAAACGGCUCUGGUUAAUACCCGGGGCUAAUGACGGUACCGUAAGAAUAAGCACCGGCUAACUACGUG